rnacentral:misc_RNA from 1 species
GCCCGUCACACCAUGGGAGUGGGUUGCUCCAGAAGUAGCUAGUCUAACCGCAAGGGGGACGGUUACCACGGAGUGAUUCAUGACUGGGGUGAAGUCGUAACAAGGUAGCCGUAGGGGAACCUGCGGCUGGAUCACCUCCUUAAUCGAAGAUCUCAGCUUCUUCAUAAGCUCCCACACGAAUUGCUUGAUUCACUGGUUAGACGAUUGGGUCUGUAGCUCAGUUGGUUAGAGCGCACCCCUGAUAAGGGUGAGGUCGGCAGUUCGAAUCUGCCCAGACCCACCAAUUGUUGGUGUGCUGCGUGAUCCGAUACGGGGCCAUAGCUCAGCUGGGAGAGCGCCUGCUUUGCACGCAGGAGGUCAGGAGUUCGAUCCUCCUUGGCUCCACCAUCCAAACAAUCGUCGAAAGCUCAGAAAUGAAUGUUCGUGAAUGAACAUUGAUUUCUGGUCUUUGCACCAGAACUGUUCUUUAAAAAUUCGGGUAUGUGAUAGAAGUAAGACUGAAUGAUCUCUUUCACUGGUGAUCAUUCAAGUCAAGGUAAAAUUUGCGAGUUCAAGCGCGAAUUUUCGGCGAAUGUCGUCUUCACAGUAUAACCAGAUUGCUUGGGGUUAUAUGGUCAAGUGAAGAAGCGCAUACGGUGGAUGCCUUGGCCCCACA